rnacentral:rRNA from 1 species
UUGGAGGCACUGCCUGCCCAGUGACAAUAGUUUAACGGCCGCGGUAUCCUGACCGUGCAAAGGUAGCAUAAUCACUUGUUCUCUAAAUAAGGACUUGUAUGAAUGGCCACACGAGGGUUUUACUGUCUCUUACUUCCAAUCAGUGAAAUUGACCUCCCCGUGAAGAGGCGGGAAUAAAUUAAUAAGACGAGAAGACCCUAUGGAGCUUUAACUAACCAAUCCAAAGAAAACAGACUAAAUAACUCAGGAAAUAACAACGUCUUCUUAUGAUUUGACAGUUUCGGUUGGGGUGACCUCGGAGAAUAAAAAAUCCUCCGAACGAUUUUAAAGACUAGACCUACAAGUCAAAUCACUCAAUCGCUCAUUGAUCCAAAAACUUGAUCAACGGAACAAGUUACCCUAGGGAUAACAGCGCAAUCCUAUUCAAGAGUCCAUAUCGACAAUAGGGUUUACGACCUCGAUGUUGGAUCAGGACACCCAGAUGGUGCAACCGCUAUCAAA